rnacentral:rRNA from 1 species
UACGUAGGGGGCAAGCGUUGUCCGGAUUUAUUGGGCGUAAAGAGCGUGUAGGCGGCCUGAAAGGUCAGCUGUGAAAACUCGAGGCUCAACCUCGAGACGUCGGUUGAAACCAUCUGGCUAGAGUCCGGGAGAGGAGAGUGGAAGUCCUGGUGUAGCGGUGAAAUGCGUAGAUAUCAGGAGGAACACCUGUGGUGUAGACAGCUUACUGGACCAUUUCUGACGCUGAGACACGAAAGCGUGGGUAGCAAACAGG